rnacentral:tRNA from 1 species
GCGGGCGUGGUGGAAUUGGUAGACACGCAAGAUUUAGGUUCUUGUGCCGAAAGGUGUGGGGGUUCAAGUCCCUCCGCCCGCACCA